UUGUCCAGUUUUGAUCAAAUCUGACAGAGGAGAAGAUAUUAAGUGAUUAAGUUCCUACAAGCAUCUGAAUAGAGCCAAGAAAUGUUACUUGUCUACAAUCUGCAACCCUAUCGACGCAAAGGCACAAGCAUGAGCUCACUCUUCAACAGACAUCAGAGAAUCACAGCAGAGAGACUUUGAGCCAGAUCUUCUGGCAGGUGAAGUUUGCUUUAUGUGGAGUCCAUCAGUGCUAACCCCGGUGGAGAAAUAGCCGCAGAGCUAUGAGAAUUGCCUCUUUUCCUUCUCAUUAUUUCCAGUCUUUGCUGUCUGAAAAAGUGAGUGAGACAGGAUCCCUACAUCAAUCUUCUUUCUGGUCAGUAUGUGCUCCUGAAUUCAAGUCCUGCAAAUAUUAUUCCUGAAAAUAAAGUGGU